GCAGGCCUAACAUUGCAAGUCGAGCGGCAGCGGGAAAGUAGCUUGCUACUUUUGCCGGCGAGCGGCGGACGGGUGAGUAAUGCCUGGGGAUCUGCCCAGUCGAGGGGGAUAACAGUUGGAAACGACUGCUAAUACCGCAUACGCCCUACGGGGGAAAGCAGGGGACCUUCGGGCCUUGCGCGAUUGGAUGAACCCAGGUGGGAUUAGCUAGUUGGUGAGGUAAUGGCUCACCAAGGCGACGAUCCCUAGCUGGUCUGAGAGGAUGAUCAGCCACACUGGAACUGAGACACGGUCCAGACUCCUACGGGAGGCAGCAGUGGGGAAUAUUGCACAAUGGGGGAAACCCUGAUGCAGCCAUGCCGCGUGUGUGAAGAAGGCCUUCGGGUUGUAAAGCACUUUCAGCGAGGAGGAAAGGUUGGUAGCGAAUAACUGCCAGCUGUGACGUUACUCGCAGAAGAAGCACCGGCUAACUCCGUGCCAGCAGCCGCGGUAUACGGAGGGUGCAAGCGUUAUCGGAAUUACUGGGCGUAAGCGCACCAGGCGGUUGGAUAAUUAAAUGUGAA
rnacentral:rRNA from 1 species